CAUCAUUUCAAAACAAUUUGAAUUUGAUAAACAUAAAAGUUAAUUUAUGUGGUCCAUAUGUCUUAUGUUUUAUGGGUUAACAUGUCGUCCCAAAAUCCUUGCCUUAUCGCCACGCCAAUCAUUCAUUUUAGAUGAAUAUCGGAAAUUUGUGAUUGAUCAAGCUGCGAUGAUUAUCUUUACUUUUUUUUUUUCUUUUUUUGAAGAAGAAGAUAAUUACAUAUACAUUGGGGCUGUUCGUUUCACCGCCGCAGGUAGUUGCGGCUGCGGCGGACGCAGGUGAUGAUGUUCGUUUCGUCACCGCAUGAAGCUGCGUCAUAACGCAGCGGCAAACGCAGCGUCCUGCGACGAGAAUUUUGAAACGCCAAUUUUAAUCAGCGGUCGUAAUUAGAAAGUUGCGUUCAAUCUGGGAAUUGACCAAAAUACCCUUGUUCAAUGUUUUACAUUUUCUAAACCUAAGAGAAGAACGGCGAAGAAGAGAAGAUUAUUUCCAGAUUCGAUUUCUCUCCUCCUCUGCUCUCAUCUUUGUUUUCUUGCGUUUGUAAAACGAACGUAAUAUCAGCGGUAGCGGCAGCGGCAGCGGUGGCGGCAGCGGUUACGUCAACAAAACGAACAUAAAUAUUGAUGCAGCGGUAGCGGCGGCGGUAACGGCGGCGGCGACAAAACGAACAACAACCUGCGGCAACGUUUGCCGCUACCGCUGCCGCUACCGCCGGUGGUGAUGAAACGAACAUGGCCAUUAUCAUUCAUGCAUGGCUACUUGCAAUUGCAUUUUGAUUGAUAAUAAUAAUAAUACAGUAAAAGUAAAAUGAUGAGAGUAUGGGACUAUGGGAUAAAAUUAAACAAAGUUAUGUGUGUUUACAAUUUUUUGUUUUUUUAAUGUGCAACGAAGUUGACGUAAAA